UACGGAGGAUCCGAGCGUUAUCCGGAAUUACUGGGCGUAAAGAGUUGCGUAGGUGGCACAGUGUGUCUGUAGUGAAAGCGUGAGGCUCAACCUCAUAAACAUUAUGGAAACUGCUGGGCUAGAGGACGAGAGAGGUUAUUGGAAUUCCCAGUGUAGGAGUGAAAUCCGUAGAUAUUGGGAGGAACACCGAUGGCGUAGGCAGAUAACUGGCUCGUUCCUGACACUAAGGCACGAAAGCGUGGGGAGCAAACGGG
rnacentral:rRNA from 1 species